UUAAGCGACUAAGCGUACACGGUGGAUGCCCUGGCAGUCAGAGGCGAUGAAGGACGUGCUAAUCUGCGAUAAGCGUCGGUAAGGUGAUAUGAACCGUUAUAACCGGCGAUUUCCGAAUGGGGAAACCCAGUGUGUUUCGACACACUAUCAUUAACUGAAUCCAUAGGUUAAUGAGGCGAACCGGGGGAACUGAAACAUCUAAGUACCCCGAGGAAAAGAAAUCAACCGAGAUUCCCCCAGUAGCGGCGAGCGAACGGGGAGCAGCCCAGAGCCUGAAUCAGUGUGUGUGUUAGUGGAAGCGUCUGGAAAGGCGCGCGAUACAGGGUGACAGCCCCGUACACAAAAAUGCACAUGCUGUGAGCUCGAUGAGUAGGGCGGGACACGUGGUAUCCUGUCUGAAUAUGGGGGGACCAUCCUCCAAGGCUAAAUACUCCUGACUGACCGAUAGUGAACCAGUACCGUGAGGGAAAGGCGAAAAGAACCCCGGCGAGGGGAGUGAAAAAGAACCUGAAACCGUGUACGUACAAGCAGUGGGAGCACGCUUAGGCGUGUGACUGCGUACCUUUUGUAUAAUGGGUCAGCGACUUAUAUUCUGUAGCAAGGUUAACCGAAUAGGGGAGCCGAAGGGAAACCGAGUCUUAACUGGGCGUUAAGUUGCAGGGUAUAGACCCGAAACCCGGUGAUCUAGCCAUGGGCAGGUUGAAGGUUGGGUAACACUAACUGGAGGACCGAACCGACUAAUGUUGAAAAAUUAGCGGAUGACUUGUGGCUGGGGGUGAAAGGCCAAUCAAACCGGGAGAUAGCUGGUUCUCCCCGAAAGCUAUUUAGGUAGCGCCUCGUGAAUUCAUCUCCGGGGGUAGAGCACUGUUUCGGCAAGGGGGUCAUCCCGACUUACCAACCCGAUGCAAACUGCGAAUACCGGAGAAUGUUAUCACGGGAGACACACGGCGGGUGCUAACGUCCGUCGUGAAGAGGGAAACAACCCAGACCGCCAGCUAAGGUCCCAAAGUCAUGGUUAAGUGGGAAACGAUGUGGGAAGGCCCAGACAGCCAGGAUGUUGGCUUAGAAGCAGCCAUCAUUUAAAGAAAGCGUAAUAGCUCACUGGUCGAGUCGGCCUGCGCGGAAGAUGUAACGGGGCUAAACCAUGCACCGAAGCUGCGGCAGCGACGCUGAUGCGUUGUUGGGUAGGGGAGCGUUCUGUAAGCCUGCGAAGGUGUGCUGUGAGGCAUGCUGGAGGUAUCAGAAGUGCGAAUGCUGACAUAAGUAACGAUAAAGCGGGUGAAAAGCCCGCUCGCCGGAAGACCAAGGGUUCCUGUCCAACGUUAAUCGGGGCAGGGUGAGUCGACCCCUAAGGCGAGGCCGAAAGGCGUAGUCGAUGGGAAACAGGUUAAUAUUCCUGUACUUGGUGUUACUGCGAAGGGGGGACGGAGAAGGCUAUGUUGGCCGGGCGACGGUUGUCCCGGUUUAAGCGUGUAGGCUGGUUUUCCAGGCAAAUCCGGAAAAUCAAGGCUGAGGCGUGAUGACGAGGCACUACGGUGCUGAAGCAACAAAUGCCCUGCUUCCAGGAAAAGCCUCUAAGCAUCAGGUAACAUCAAAUCGUACCCCAAACCGACACAGGUGGUCAGGUAGAGAAUACCAAGGCGCUUGAGAGAACUCGGGUGAAGGAACUAGGCAAAAUGGUGCCGUAACUUCGGGAGAAGGCACGCUGAUAUGUAGGUGAGGUCUCUUGCGGAUGGAGCUGAAAUCAGUCGAAGAUACCAGCUGGCUGCAACUGUUUAUUAAAAACACAGCACUGUGCAAACACGAAAGUGGACGUAUACGGUGUGACGCCUGCCCGGUGCCGGAAGGUUAAUUGAUGGGGUUAGCGCAAGCGAAGCUCUUGAUCGAAGCCCCGGUAAACGGCGGCCGUAACUAUAACGGUCCUAAGGUAGCGAAAUUCCUUGUCGGGUAAGUUCCGACCUGCACGAAUGGCGUAAUGAUGGCCAGGCUGUCUCCACCCGAGACUCAGUGAAAUUGAACUCGCUGUGAAGAUGCAGUGUACCCGCGGCAAGACGGAAAGACCCCGUGAACCUUUACUAUAGCUUGACACUGAACAUUGAGCCUUGAUGUGUAGGAUAGGUGGGAGGCUUUGAAGUGUGGACGCCAGUCUGCAUGGAGCCGACCUUGAAAUACCACCCUUUAAUGUUUGAUGUUCUAACGUUGACCCGUAAUCCGGGUUGCGGACAGUGUCUGGUGGGUAGUUUGACUGGGGCGGUCUCCUCCUAAAGAGUAACGGAGGAGCACGAAGGUUGGCUAAUCCUGGUCGGACAUCAGGAGGUUAGUGCAAUGGCAUAAGCCAGCUUGACUGCGAGCGUGACGGCGCGAGCAGGUGCGAAAGCAGGUCAUAGUGAUCCGGUGGUUCUGAAUGGAAGGGCCAUCGCUCAACGGAUAAAAGGUACUCCGGGGAUAACAGGCUGAUACCGCCCAAGAGUUCAUAUCGACGGCGGUGUUUGGCACCUCGAUGUCGGCUCAUCACAUCCUGGGGCUGAAGUAGGUCCCAAGGGUAUGGCUGUUCGCCAUUUAAAGUGGUACGCGAGCUGGGUUUAGAACGUCGUGAGACAGUUCGGUCCCUAUCUGCCGUGGGCGCUGGAGAACUGAGGGGGGCUGCUCCUAGUACGAGAGGACCGGAGUGGACGCAUCACUGGUGUUCGGGUUGUCAUGCCAAUGGCACUGCCCGGUAGCUAAAUGCGGAAGAGAUAAGUGCUGAAAGCAUCUAAGCACGAAACUUGCCCCGAGAUGAGUUCUCCCUGACUCCUUGAGAGUCCUGAAGGAACGUUGAAGACGACGACGUUGAUAGGCCGGGUGUGUAAGCGCAGCGAUGCGUUGAGCUAACCGGUACUAAUGAACCGUGAGGCUUAACCUU
rnacentral:rRNA from 1 species